rnacentral:rRNA from 1 species
UACGUAGGGUGCAAGCGUUGUCCGGAAUUAUUGGGCGUAAAGAGCUCGUAGGCGGUUUGUCGCGUCUGCUGUGAAAACUGGAGGCUCAACCUCCAGCCUGCAGUGGGUACGGGCAGACUAGAGUGCGGUAGGGGAGAUUGGAAUUCCUGGUGUAGCGGUGAAAUGCGCAGAUAUCAGGAGGAACACCAAUGGCGAAGGCAGCACUCUGGGACGGUACUGACGCUGAGACGCGAAAGCGUGGGGAGCAAACAGG